GCCAAAGACAGGAGCAGUUAGGGCAGUUGGGGAUGGGUGCAAAGAUGCCCCAGGUUGCCACUGGCGACACCGUUAUGAAGUCACUCCAGGGUUCCGGCCGUGGCAACGAGCCCACCAAGAGCAACAAACGCCUCUGCGCAGUGCUCCUGCUCUUGCCAGGCUCUGCAAGGGAACAGAGCUCACCAACAGCCGGCUUUGCUGCUGCUGAGAGUGGCAGACAGCCUGCAGGGCACAAGGAAAGGGCGGCAUCUGGGAACCGAAGCUUUGGGAAAGCCCUCGUUUGGGCGAUGUUUGCCUGGAGGGGAGAAGACUUCUCAGCCCAGCCAAGGGCACAGAGAGCCAUCCCCCAGCCUGUGCCAGCCUUCCAGCUGCAAGAGACUGCUCAUGGCACUGAUGGCACCGCUCCGACCUUGGGCACGGCGCAGGACGACAUCUGUGAGCUGUGCAGACGCUUCAAGCUGCUGAGCAUUGGAGCCAAGCAGAUGCACAUCAAUGAUGGCCCCAAAACCACCGCUUUUGCCAGCCAUAAACUGCUCAAAGCCAAACCAUCGGAACUGGUGAGUCAAAGCGUGACCUCCUUUGGUCCCAUAUGUGACCCAUUCCAACAUGGGAGCCCUGAGCUGUGUGCCCAUCAGAGCCAGCUCAGCCAGGUGCAGUGGACAAUGCAGAGUGCUGUGAUGCCCUCCUUGGAGCCACCAACAGCUACCAACAAUGCAGCAGCAGAUGGGCCAGCAGAACGCAUCUGCCCACAUCUAUGCCCAGCUCUGCACAGGAAGCGCAAGCACUGUGCUGGGAGAGAGCACCGCCAUGGCAGCCGGGAUGAGGACUCUGCCAACCAAUUCCAGGUGGAGUUUACACACAAGGCCAAGAAGACCUGCAAAGCCUUGCCCAUCUUCCCCGUGUCUCUGCCCCGGGGAGGCCUUCCAUCCAGCAGUGCAAAUGGCAGCAAGCAGGCUCAGCCCAGCUGCGCUCCUGCCCCGGGUUUGGCUGCCAAACUGCAGAAGACUGCAGGAAGCUGCAAGACUGACGGGCCAAGCACAGGCAAAGAGGGGAU
rnacentral:lncRNA from 1 species